GUUGGAAUGAUUCUUCUGUGUCAGUUCUUAGUUAAAGUUUAACAUCAGGAUUUCUCGCGAGGAUUUAAGGAGCUCUUUUUGACCGCCUUCCCUGUGGAUUAAUUUAUCCUAGUACAGGAACUACAGAUUACUUGCUGCUUGACCUGCUCAGUUUGAGUUGGUUUGCUUCCAUUACAAGCAACUGUCCAAGAACAUUUUAUUUGUAAUACGA
rnacentral:misc_RNA from 1 species